GAUCUAAACAAAGCCGGGGACAAUGGAUAAAAGCCACAAGAAGAACAGAUAUAACGGAACUAAAAUUAAAAUAUGAAAAGUAAACAUUUUAUAAGUGGAACAACCACCAGAUAUUUAAAAGGUAUAAAAAGAAGAAACUGCUGGAAUUUCAAAACAAAUGUGUUUGACUAGUAAAGAUUUGGAUAAAUAACAGGAGUUACUUUGGGCUAUAGCUACGUGCAGAUUUAUUUCCUUGUGGCUUUCUAUGUUAAUUCUUAUUAAUUAUACACUUAAAUAUGUUUUUAGUCUCAGGAAGAUUUUAUAUUUGAUUAUUUUUGAAUAAACAUUAUUAUUAUUAUUACCUUAAUUUCCAUUAAAUAAAUUAACUGUAAUCAAUAAAGUAAUCGUUUAAUUGUUAAUAAAUUAUCAAGUAUGA
rnacentral:lncRNA from 1 species